rnacentral:rRNA from 1 species
GACGAACGCUGGCGGCGUGCUUAACACAUGCAAGUCGAACGGUAAGGCCCUUCGGGGUACACGAGUAGCGAACGGGUGAGUAACACGUGGGUGAUCUGCCCUGCACUUCGGGAUAAGCCUGGGAAACUGGGUCUAAUACCGGAUAGGACCCUGGGAUGCAUGUCCUGGGGUGGAAAGCUUUUGCGGUGUGGGAUGGGCCCGCGGCCUAUCAGCUUGUUGGUGGGGCGAUGGCCUACUAAGGCGACGACGGGUAGCCGGCCUGAGAGGGUGACCGGCCACACUGGGACUGAGAUACGGCCCAGACUCCUACGGGAGGCAGCAGUGGGGAAUAUUGCACAAUGGGCGCAAGCCUGAUGCAGCGACGCCGCGUGAGGGAUGACGGCCUUCGGGUUGUAAACCUCUUUCAGCACCGACGAAGCGCAAGUGACGGUAGGUGCAGAAGAAGGACCGGCCAACUACGUGCCAGCCGCCGCGGUAA